CUCAAUCCCAAUGUGGCCGUUCAACCUCUCAGUCCAGCUACACAUCAUAGUCUUGGUAAGCCGUUACCUUACCAACUAACUAAUGUGCCGCAAGCCCAUCUCUUAGCAUACCCUUGCGGGUCUUUUAAAAGUUUCAAGAUGCCUUAAAACUUCCUAUCCAGUCUUAGCAGUCGUUUCCAACUGUUAUCCUCGUCUAAG
rnacentral:misc_RNA from 1 species